rnacentral:rRNA from 1 species
GUCUAUUUGUAGAUAUAAAUAGUCUAGCCUGCUCACUGAUAAAAUUUUAUUAAAGAGCCGCGGUAUAUUGACUGUGCAAAGGUAGCAUAAUCAUUAGUUUUUUAAUUGAAAACUUGUAUGAAAGGUUGGACAAAAGAAGGACUGUCUUUGUUAUUAAAAUUGAAUUUUACUUUUGAGUUAAAAGGCUCAAAUACUUCAAAGGGACGAGAAGACCCUAUAAAGUUUUAUAGAAUAAGAUAUUUUGAUUAAAUUAAUAAUAAAGAUUUCUUUGUCUUAUUAUAUUUGAUUGGGGCGAUAUAGAUAUAAUUUUUUUAACUGUCAAGAAAAAAUUACAUAUAUUAUUUGUAUUUAAAUUAAUUGAUCCUUAAUAAAGAUUAAAAGAUUAAGUUACUUUAGGGAUAACAGCGUAAUUUUUUUUGAGAGUCCAUAUCGAAGAAAAAGUUUGCGACCUCGAUGUUGAAUUAAAAUGUCUAUAUAAUGCAGCAGUUAUAUAAGAAGGUCUGUUCGACCUUUAAUUUUUU